AUAGAGGCUUGGGUCGGGUACUAGAGUAUCGACCAAGACAAAGAGUAAAUGCAGAAUUUAAAGAUGAAAAUCGAAUCAAGAUUAAAAAAGGAAAGUGGGAAUAUUUUUUUUGAUUUUCGAAAACUUGGAAAGAAAGCAAAACUAUUUUAUUUUUUUUUUAAAAUGCAAAAUCGAAAACUUGGAGAACAAUCCAAAAAUUUCAAAAUAAGGAAAGUAAAUAUUUUUUUUUGAACUGCGACGGCUAGGGUUCAGAAAGAACUGAGUUUCACAGGAAACUUCAGCACUGAUACCAAAAUGUUGUAGGCACAGGACGGAUGGUCGGAUGGACGGACGGACGGACGGUUGGAUGGCCG
rnacentral:lncRNA from 1 species